GCCUACCACACCACCCAGAACACGCCCGAUCUCGUCUGAUCUCGGAGGCAACGCAGGAUCGGGCCUGGUUAGCGCUUGGCAGAGAGACUGCCUGGGAAUGCCUGGUGCUGUAAGCU
rnacentral:rRNA from 1 species